GCUAACUAGUAACUAGUACUAUCUACUUGCACAUCACAGUACAGAGUAGUGUAUUACAGCUGCUAUCAUUCUACACCGCCGUCGCGGUGGGAUCCCAUGGCCGCCGCGUGCCUCGCCGCCGACCACACAAUAAAACUGAGCCGGAAGCCUCGCCGCGGCAGCGUGGGACCCAUACCAGGAGAGCAGCCAGAACCAACGUGCAGCUCGAUCGAUGAUGCGUCGACAAGGACUAGGAGUAGGAGCUAAUAAAGAAGGAAGAAUUAAGAAGAGAAAUCGAAGCCAGCGUUAGAGCCAGCAGACGAGCUAUGUGUCCUGAUGGCUACUCCAGCCGCAGGAUAAGCCUGAGGUCGCGCGUCGCGGCGGCGGCGGCGUCGACGGCGGUCGUCAUGGCCACGGCCACGGCCUUCCUGGCAGGGAACUGCGGUAGCGGCAGCAAGCUCGGGUCGGGGGACGUCGAGAACGAUGGGCCGGCGUACACCUCCGCCGCAGGCCUCGCCCUUCUGCCGCCGGGGUGUCUUCGCCCCGCCGCGGGGGACGAUGUCCCGGCCGGCGGCGACCUCCUCCUGGUGGCGGUGGCGCCGGGGUGGUGGCUGUCGCUACCAGCUGCCCUCCGGCGCGCCGCCGCCGCCGCCCGGAUCCUCUGCGGCGGCGCCGGCAAGAGGACGUUGCGCGCGCGCAGCACGUCGGUGGCCAUGCCGACGACGGGAGAGGGGGAGGUG
rnacentral:misc_RNA from 1 species